AUCGCUUCUCAGCCUUUUGGCUAAGAUCAAGUGUAAAAUUUGAAAGUAUUCUUGAGACACAUUGGAAAAUGAUAAUUCAAUUUUUUGAACUUAUUUUGAAGAAAAUUUCAAACCUGCUAAAAAGUUGCAGGAAUAGUACAGUGAACUCCUGAUAUAUCAGUCAGGUUUUUUCCACAUUUG
ensembl:snRNA U2 U2 spliceosomal RNA